CCCACACAGUGAUCUGAGAGACUCAGUCAGUCCUGUGCAUCUGGCAUCUGGUAAAAGCUUAAUAAGUGAUAGUUGCCAGAUAAGUGAAUGGCUCACUCGGAAUUACAGUUCAUCAUUCAUUCAAAGAUUUCUAGGAAGCCAACUCUACUCCAGGCUCUGUGCUAGACACUGCAGAUGUUACAGGAAAGCAUGGCAGAGAUUUCCAGUCCAUGGCCAUCUGAUUCUGGGCUGUGGUGAAGCAGAGCAUCAUGGGGGAAGGCAUGGUGAGACACAGCUGUUUGCCUCGUGGUGUCUGAGAAGCAGAGAGACAUAGAGGAGGAGUUGGAGAGGGAAGAAAGAGAUCCCCAACUGAUAAGUUUGAGCACAUCAGAAUCUCCUACUGCACUGUCUCUGUAGAGACAGGCUCCCAAGCAGCAUUGAUCCCCUGGUUUAAACUGCACAGCCUGAAACUUCCCAGAAAGUAUGCUGCCAAGCACUGGAGAUCAUGUAGGGAAAAGGGGCCAGUCAAAGAAACACACCCUGAGCAGAGCCAAAGAAACACACUUUGGUCCUGCAACCAGAACCAAAGAAAUGUAC